rnacentral:rRNA from 1 species
GUCCUAGCCCUAAACGAUGUUCACUAGGUGUGAGAGGUAUCGACCCCUUUCGCGCCGAAGCUAACGCAUUAAGUGAACCGCCUGGGGGAGUACGGCCGCAAGGUUGAAACUCAAAGGAAUUGACGGGGGCCCGCACAAGCGGUGGAGCAUGUGGUUUAAUUCGACGCAACGCGAAGAACCUUACCUGGGCUUGAACUACUCGUGGUAAGCUUUUGGAAACAGAAGCUGACCCGCAAGGGAGCGAGCAGAGGUGCUGCAUGGUUGUCGU